ensembl:lncRNA
GUAGUGGAAAUGCUAAAUCAUGGCUUGAAGCAGUGAUUGAGCACCUGGUGGAAGGCAGGGCCAACCCAGUGGAGCUCAGGUGUUUGCAGUUCACCUGAGUGAGAGGAAGGGGUGGAGCCAGGAUCCACCCCUUCCCAGACCUCAUUUAAGGGUUGACACCGAAGGCGAGAGCAUCUUGCCUACAGGAGACUUUCAGAGCCUGCUUGGAUGUGCCAGUGAGCUGAAAACAGUUGGCUGGUGCCACCCAGCUCUCAGUGACCUAAGUCCAUCUCAGGUCAGUAGUUAUCUCCAUCUGUUUCUCUCUGACUGUUUUGUGGCCAGUGGCAUAGAAGCAGUACCAGAUAGGCACUACCAUGCUACAGAAUUCUCUGGCUGGAGAUACAGAAGCAGAAGUGGUGGCACUAGUUCCUUACAGCACAGAAGCAAGAAAAUAUGCUGGAACUGUGGCCUCAUUUGCAAAAUAAAAUGAAAAUAUCAAUGUCCUUACCUGCUUUGCAUUGAGACGAACACAUUAACCCUUAAUUUAAACUGGAGAAGGCUGUAGUAACUCUUAGAGGUGGAACAAAGCCCUUCAGUGAAUUGCAUGUGGCACUUGGGAGCGCAUAACCCAGGCUGAGCUGAGCUUGUAAAGAAAAUAAAGUAGGAGGAACAACUGAAGUAAAGAUAUGGUCUUGAAUUUUACAUUGCCUUCUCUCUGGGAAGGUCACAGCAGAAUUGAGGCAUAAAACCAACCUCUUAUCGCUUUCCAGUACCCUCUACUGUUUCUCUUUAAGAAAAAAUAAAUCCUGAAGGCAGGCAGUGGAAGAAAUCACUUCAAAGCACUGCAACGCAUGGGAAACAUAACUGGUGGCAAUUAUUAAUCUAUCUCCAUCUUCUCCCCUCCCCCAGAGUUAUUGCUACUGAGUUUGAUUAACAGGGUUUGUACGAUGUUUUGUGUGGCAUCACUUAGUGCAGAAAUGAUUAGCUGUGAUUAAUACUGUUCAUGCCGGGAAGGUGUAUGUUUCUUUCACUUGAGGCUGAUGUCUAAGUUUGCAUUUUUUGUUGUGUAAAGUGCGUAUCAUAGACAAGAGCUGCAGUGAAGAGGAAAUAGCAAGGGAAGGUUCAGACAGGUCAAGUAAUUUUAGUUACGACACAAUGAUAAGGGGAUUAAUUGUGAGUAGGCAGAAAGGAUGCAGAUAAGGGAAACCGGUAGUGUUUAGACCCAGGACAACUGGCAUUCACUGUGAACAUCCAAUAUUAGUAUUUUCCUACCUUUUUUUUUUUUUCAUUUUUUUCCCUUCUUUUUCCAAAUUUAUCUGUCUAGAACACGCUUCCAUUUUCUG